rnacentral:misc_RNA from 1 species
AAGUCGUAACAAGGUUUCCGUAGGUGAACCUGCGGAAGGAUCAUUAAAACGUAUCCACGUACCAACCCAGUACGAACAGUUCCCUUUGGAUCGGAGCAAUGGUCGAUUGAGUUUGUCGUGACAAGGGCGCAAGCCUUGAACUCCGUCGGUCGUCCCUUACGGGAGCUUUGAUACUAAAGCGGUUCAUCAUUUCCAUUUCACGGGAAACAUCCAAUGUACCAAUUAUUAACCCUUUGUACCUUUUGAACUGAACUGCGAUUGCUCCUCGUUGGCUUCCACUUCGUGGAAGACACGGAGCUUUCGAUCUAUUACGAAACUCAAACAACUCUUAACAACGGAUAUCUUGGUUCUC